rnacentral:rRNA from 1 species
ACAUACGACCAUAGGGUGUGGAAAACAGGGCUUCCCGUCCGCUCAGCCGUACUUAAGCCACACGCCGGUAAGUUAGUAGUUGGGUGGGUGACCACCAGCGAAUCCUCACUGUUGUAUGAUU